GGAGAGAUGACUAAGUGGUUGAUAGCCCUAAUCUUUAAAACCGGUAUAUUUUUGAACAAAGAACAAUCGAGGGAUCGAAUCCCUCUCUCUCAU
rnacentral:tRNA from 1 species